GAACCCCCCCGCACCCCCGUCCGCGGGGAGGCCGCGAUGAGCAGAGCAGCUUUCCCAAUUAGCGGAGCUCCGGCGAGGGAGCGCGGCUGCCGAGGAAGGGCAGGAGCAGGCAGAGACCAAAAGGCAUCCAGGAAACCCAAGAGGAAGGGAAGGUUGUCCAUAUCUCACCUCCACAGCGGAUUUCUUCAGCCUCUGCCUGUCCCUGGCCAUUGCUCCUUGUCCUGCCACUGGCACCAACACCCCAGGAGCUCCCAGCUCCCUCCAGCCAGCCCUGCAAGCCUGGUUUCCACGGAAGGAUUAGGUGGGGAAUAAGGUUUUCCCAAACCUCACUGCUGAGAGCCCUUUCCCUCCUCACAGCCAGGCUGGGAGUGAUCCCAGGGCUCUGCAAGGCCCUCUCUGGGCAUCACAGGUCACCCAAACUGAAUUUGCCACUGCAGGCAUUAAAUAUUUUUAUAUUUCUGCCCAAAAAUGUUAAGGGGAGGCAGUGACUGGUGAUGGCAGUGGGGCCUCGAGGCUCUGCCAGCCCCAUCUCUGCUUUUAAAGGGCACAAAGUGCUCCAGUCCCUCUGGGUCAGUGUGAGGAGUCCCAAAGUUCAUUAUUAGGAAGAAUCCAGCCUUAAAUACCGGAUCAACAAGGAACUGCAGCAUUACAUGGAUCAGACACAUCUGAAAACCUCCCUCAAGUGAAUGAGGUCCAAAAUAUCUGCUCUGGAAAACACCUGUGGAAAUCUGCCCACCCUUUAAACCGGUAGAGAUGUGGAGUUUACAUCACUGAGCAGCACAAAGUGAGAACACCCCGGCCCACAUCAGAAUAAAAAGGUAAAUCCUCUUCAGUGCUCAGGAUUGAAGAGACUCUUCCAUGGAAUUUCAUGAGGUGGCCAUCAAGCAAAGUGACUUAUCAUCAGAAGUUAUGAUAAGGAAAAGAUUAAGAUUAAGAAGAAUUAAAUAAAAAUGUCUUGGCACUUUUGUCUGGAAAAGCAUUCUGCUGGAAAAUGCUUUGGAAUCAGGAGACUCCAGCAGGUCCUUCACUCAGGGGCUGCCUCCUGACAGGGAAAUGAGCAUGUGAAUGCUGGUCCAGAGAUCCACUGAGUACAAACAUGGAUCAUUAAUUGGUGCUAGGAAUGUUUUAUUCAUUCUGGAAACUGGGAAUGCAGCUGGGCUUUAAUCAGCAUAAGGAAAAUGUCAUUUUUUAAUAAAAACUCUCCAAAAUUCCGGACUUGGUGGGAUCUGGGGGGUUGUCCUGUGCAGGGCUGGCAGUCGGAGCCUGGUGAGUUGGGAUGUUCCAUAAAUCCCUGAUUCUCCUGGCCCUUGAAUAUUGAUAUUGAUAUUCCAUAAUUCCCUGAUUCCCCUGGCCUUUGAAUAUUGAUAUUCCCUGAUUCUCUCCUGGCACUUGAAUACUGAUAUUCCCUAAUUCCCUGAUUCUCCUGUUGUUUGAAUAUUGAUAUUGAUAUCCCAUAAUUCCCUGAUUCUCUUAGCUCUUGAAUAUUGUUAUUCCAUAAUUCCCUGAUUCUCUGGGCCUUCGAAUAUUGAUAUUCCAUAAUAUUUCUUGAUUAUCCUGGCCUUUGAAUAUUGAUAUUCCAUAAUUCCCUGAUUUCCCUGGCCUUUGGGUAUUGAUAUUGAUAUUCCAUAAUUCUCUCCUGGCACUUCAAUAUUGAUAUUCCAUAAUUCCCCGAUUCUCCUGGCCUCUGAAUGUUGAUAUUCCAUAAUUCCCUGAUUCCCCUGGCCUUUGAAUAUUGAUAUUCCAUGAUUCCCUGAUUCUCCUAGCUCUUGAAUAUUGUUAUUCCAUAAUUCCCUGAUUCCUCUGGCCUUUGGAUAUUGUUAUUCCAUAAUUCCCUGAUUCUCUCCUGGCACUCGAAUAUUGAUAUUCCAUGAUUCCCUGAUUCCCCUGGGCAUUGAAUAUUGAUAUUCCAUAAUUCCCUGAUUCCCCUGGCCUUUGAAUCCAUAAUUCCCUGAUUCCCCUGGCCUUUGGGUAUUGAUAUUGAUAUUCCAUAAUUCUCUCCUGGCACUUCAAUAUUGAUAUUCCAUAAUUCCCCGAUUCUCCUGGCCUUUGAAUAUUGAUAUUGCUAUUCCAUAAUUCCCUGACUCUCCUGGCCUCUGAAUAUUGAUUUUCCAUAGUUUCCUGAUUCCCCUGGCCUUUGAAUAUUGAUAUUGAUAUUCCAUAAUUCCCCAAUUCUCCUGGCCCUUGAAUAUUGAUAUUCCAUCAUUCCCUGAUUCUCCUGGCCUUUGAAUGUUGAUAUUCCAUCAUUCCCUGAUUCUCCUGGCCCUUGAAUGUUGACAUUCCAUAAUUCUCUCCUGGCACUUGAAUAUUGAUAUUCCAUAAUUCCCUGAUUCCCCUGGCCCUUGAAUGUUGAUAUUCUCUAAUUUCCCCGAUUCUCCUGGCCUUUGAAUAUUGAUAUUCCGCAAUUCCCUGAUUCUCCUGGCCUUUGAAUAUUGCUGUUCCAUGAUUCCCUGAUUACGGAAUAUCACAAUUCCCUCGGGAGCCCCAGGCAGGGCAGGGCAGGGAUCCCCGGGAGAAAAGAUGGAUGUAAAUGCAAACGAGCGCUUCCCUUGGCCAUUCAGGCCCAUUCUUGGGAUCGGCUUUAGAAGUUUUGUUCUGCCAUUUAUCUUCGCUUGUUGGAGACGUCUUGACAAACUCCUGAGCAUCAAUUUCCCAUCAGCUUUUGGGCCGCUCUCCUUGAACCGCCAGGUCAGCUCUCCCCGCACGCAUCGGCCGGGGUUAUCGGGACGGGCCACCCUGCUGCAUUGUCCCCCGGAGGG